rnacentral:rRNA from 1 species
GGACUACUCGGGUAUCUAAUCCUGUUUGCUCCCCACGCUUUCGUGCCUCAGCGUCAGUCAUGGUCCAGUAAGCCGUCUACACCGCAGGUGUUCCUCCUGAUAUCUACGCAUUUCACCGCUACACCAGGAAUUCCGCUUACCUCUCCCAUACUCGAGCACUCCAGUUUUCGGCGCACCCUCCCAGUUGAGCCGGGAGAUUUCACACCAAACUUAGAGCACCGCCUACGCACUCUUUACGCCCAGUAACUCCGAACAACGCUCGCUGCCUACGUAUUACCGCGGCUGCUGGCAC